ACUCCUACGGGAGGCAGCAGUGGGGAAUUUUACGCAAUGGGGGAAACCCUGACGUAGCGACACCGCGUGAGCGAAGAAGCCCUUUGGGGUGUAAAGCUCUGUCAGCUGGAACGAAAACAAUGACGGUACCAGCAGAGGAAGCAUCGGCUAACUACGUGCCAGCAGCCGCGGUAAGACGUAGGAUGCGAGCGUUGUCCGGAUUUAUUGGGCGUAAAGAGUUCGUAGGUGGUUUGUUAAGUUUGGUGUUAAAGAUCGGGGCUCAACCCUGGGACUGCACUGAAUACUGGCAGACUCGAGUGUGGUAGAGGCGAGUGGAAUUCCCAGUGUAGCGGUGAAAUGCGUAGAUAUUGGGAAGAACACCGGUGGCGUAGGCGACUAGCUGGGCCAUAACUGACGCUGAGGAACGAAAGCCAGGGGAGCGAAUGGGAUUAGAAACCCCGGUAGUCCCA
rnacentral:rRNA from 1 species